rnacentral:rRNA from 1 species
GAUGAACGCUGGCGGCGUGCUUAACACAUGCAAGUCGAACGGAAAGGCUCCUGCUUGCAGGGGUACUCGAGUGGCGAACGGGUGAGUAACACGUGGGUGAUCUGCCCUGCACUUCGGGAUAAGCCUGGGAAACUGGGUCUAAUACCGGAUAGGACGAUGGUUUGGAUGCCAUUGUGGAAAGUUUUUCGGUGUGGGAUGAGCUCGCGGCCUAUCAGCUUGUUGGUGGGUAAUGGCCUACCAAGGCGUCGACGGGUAGCCGGCCUGAGAGGGUGUACGGCCACAUUGGGACUGAGAUACGGCCCAGACUCCUACGGGAGGCAGCAGUGGGGAAUAUUGCACAAUGGGCGCAAGCCUGAUGCAGCGACGCCGCGUGGGGGAUGACGGCCUUCGGAUUGUAAACUCCUUUCGCUAGGGACGAAGCGCAAGUGACGGUACCUGGAGAAGAAGCACCGGCUAACUACGUG